UGAGACUCCUUAACACGCUGUGUAUCUGUACUUCUCUUUCUGUUGCAGGUUUGGUCGCAAACGAGCAAAUCAAAUCCCUAUUGUUAUAUUGUUUGUUUUUAUCAUAGCAGCAGCAUUAAGCCCAAAUUUCUACCUGUAUUUAGCCUUCCAGCUCAUAGUGGGAGUUGGAGCUGGAGGUUUUCGAGUCAACUGUAUCAUACUGUCCACUGAGUGGAUUUGGUGCAGUGGGUCAAUGCAUCCUCGCUGGUCUGAUCUACAUCAUGAGAGACUCGAGAGUCACACAACUCAUCACAGCAGCUCCACUUACUCUUACCGUCGUCUACAUUUGGUUUAUUCCAGAGUCAGCCAGGUGGUUGUUGAACAGAGGAAAGACAGAAGAGGCCAAACAGCUGAUCAUGAAGGCAGCAGCCAUCAAUAAGCGCACUGUUCCAGACUACGUGUUG